UUAUAGCAUUAAGGGCAUGUGCGACCUGGGGCCUGUUGCACAAAAGUAGAAUUAAGACAUCCGGGAUAAAUGACUCAGCUGAGCUCAAUGAAGCCAAAACAUGUGCGUCCAGGCUUAAUUGGUUGCACAAAGACCAAGCCAGGAUGAGCAGACACGGAUUCAUUAAGCCAGGUGAAACCAAUCCUGGAUAGGUGCGCGCUCACGGCUCACUCAAAUAGACCCCGCCACAGAUCACAGAUUAACUGAUUUACCAUGGCAACUAGAGCCGCGUACUUUUCCCCGUCGGAAGCACAAAUCCUCAUGGAGGCAUACGAGGAGGUAAAAGAUAUAAUUAAGAAGAAAGGCAACACCGCCACAGUGAUAAAGCAAAGAGAAAAAGCGUGGCAAAGUAUUGCAGACCGCCUGAAUGCAUUAAACAUGAACGGGCCAAAACGGACAUGGCAGCAGGUCAAAAUCAAAUACAAGAACAUUCUGCAGAAUGCAGUGAAAAAGAAUACCCAGAGACAAGGCACGGGUGGUGGGUCACCAAAGGCUGACCUUACCCCAGCAGAGGACAUGGCCUUGGAGCUAAAUAAAGGCAGGCCCGUCUUAGAGGGGAUCCCUGGGGGAAAGAGACGAGCAUAGGUUCCUCCCAAGAUGCCACCCGCUUCAUUCAAGUGCCUGGCAGCACUGUGUUCCUGUUAGAGCCACCAGCACAAGCACCAGACGAUGCUGAUCCAGGUGAAGGCCCCAGUGCAGCAGCAACAGCACAUGAUGGAGACGAUGAUGAGGAGGAGACAAUCUCUCUGG